AACACUUGGAAAAUAACGGCCUCCAUAUUCUCCUCCUUUGUGUGUCUAUCAAAGAUCUCUCUCAUGAACUCUAUCUACUCUAUUAUUCUGAUUUUCUUGUUCUCAUAUCAUUAAAAAUAUUGAAGUGGAGAAACUAUGGAGAGAUCGAGACGCGAAAACAGAUUAGGAGAUUUGGGAAGUUGGGUUCUUCAGGAAUUUAAAUUUGAAACAAGAAAAGGUGUUCUAACCUCACGAAUUUGUCUCAUUCUAAUAAUUAUCAUGUUUGCUGUUUCAGGAAGAGGAUUGAAGAAGAUAUGCAGGACCAAAUGAAAAGCUUGAUUAAUUGAAAUCUAGCAAAAAAUAAAUGCCCAACUGGACCGGUGGAGAACCCUGUAUUGUGUUUUCCUACACAUGUCUACAAGGAUGUCCCAGAUCCAUUACAUGCUAAAACUGCAGUAAAAGAAGUAGAAAAUUUCAAGGAGGUAUCUGAAAGCUAUCCUAGCUCAUCAAUACAGAAGCAUUUGGAUUCUGAUGUUGUUACAACGGUCUUUAGAUGUUAUCAAAUGACCUAUAUACGUGAAAUGGCUAUCAAGGUAUCGAAGACAGAAAUGUUUUCUUCUGCAGCUCGUUGGGAACGUUUAUUGGUAAAUUGAAAAAUCAAGGUGUUAGCAGCAAGAACUAACGUUCUUAAGGCAGGCUGGCAGGAAAACAUCACGACCCUCCAUUAGUGCUCCACAACAGGAUCUAGUGGUUGGAUGCGUCUUGAGAAAUUUACAGAAGAAAACAGUUGCGUCUGGACGUGUUAAUUUCAAUGCACCACCAAGUGAUGAACGUUAUGAAAUCCUUAUUGUUGAACUCAUCAAUACCAAUAUGGAGCUGUGUUGGAGAUGGAUGACUUGGAGAUAUAUUUCCCGUUGAGAUGAUUGAAUGGACACAAAAAUAUGUAACUCGUGUAUUUGGAAGUUAAUCAUGCUGUUUUGAUUUUUUUUCUCUUCAUCAUUGUUUCGAACAUGAAGCAGCUUUUGUUGAACUUGAGAUGUUUGAGUUGUGAAAUUGUUAAUUAAAUUCAAGUUAAUAUUAA